CGCCUCUUGCAAAAUCUAGGAAUAAGAGGUCCAGCCUGCCCUGUGACUAUAUGUUUAACGGCCGCGGUAUUUUAACCGUGCGAAGGUAGCGCAAUCACUUGUCUUUUAAAUGGAGACCUGUAUGAAUGGCAUAACGAGGGCUUAACUGUCUCCUUUUUCAAGUCAAUGAAAUUGAUCUCCCCGUGCAGAAGCGGGGAUAAGCACAUAAGACGAGAAGACCCUAUGGAGCUUUAGACACUAAAGCAUAUCAUGCUAAACACCCCUUGACAAAGGGCUAAGCCAAAUGAUUCAUGCCCGCAUGUCUUUGGUUGGGGCGACCGCGGGGAAAUAAAAAACCCCCACGUGGAAUGGGAGCACUGCCUCCUACAACCAAGAGCUGCAGCUCUAACAAACAGAAUUUCUGACCAAUAAGAUCCGGCAAUGCCGAUCAACGGACCGAGUUACCCUAGGGAUAACAGCGCAAUCCCCUUUUAGAGCCCAUAUCGACAAGGGGGUUUACGACCUCGAUGUUGGAUCAGGACAUCC
rnacentral:rRNA from 1 species